UUAAGCGACUAAGCGUACACGGUGGAUGCCCUGGCAGUCAGAGGCGAUGAAGGACGUGCUAAUCUGCGAUAAGCGUCGGUAAGGUGAUAUGAACCGUUAUAACCGGCGAUUUCCGAAUGGGGAAACCCAGUGUGAUUCGUCACACUAUCAUUAACUGAAUCCAUAGGUUAAUGAGGCGAACCGGGGGAACUGAAACAUCUAAGUACCCCGAGGAAAAGAAAUCAACCGAGAUUCCCCCAGUAGCGGCGAGCGAACGGGGAGCAGCCCAGAGCCUGAAUCAGUGUGUGUGUUAGUGGAAGCGUCUGGAAAGGCGCGCGAUACAGGGUGACAGCCCCGUACACAAAAAUGCACAUGCUGUGAGCUCGAUGAGUAGGGCGGGACACGUGGUAUCCUGUCUGAAUAUGGGGGGACCAUCCUCCAAGGCUAAAUACUCCUGACUGACCGAUAGUGAACCAGUACCGUGAGGGAAAGGCGAAAAGAACCCCGGCGAGGGGAGUGAAAAAGAACCUGAAACCGUGUACGUACAAGCAGUGGGAGCACGCUUAGGCGUGUGACUGCGUACCUUUUGUAUAAUGGGUCAGCGACUUAUAUUCUGUAGCAAGGUUAACCGAAUAGGGGAGCCGAAGGGAAACCGAGUCUUAACUGGGCGUUAAGUUGCAGGGUAUAGACCCGAAACCCGGUGAUCUAGCCAUGGGCAGGUUGAAGGUUGGGUAACACUAACUGGAGGACCGAACCGACUAAUGUUGAAAAAUUAGCGGAUGACUUGUGGCUGGGGGUGAAAGGCCAAUCAAACCGGGAGAUAGCUGGUUCUCCCCGAAAGCUAUUUAGGUAGCGCCUCGUGAAUUCAUCUCCGGGGGUAGAGCACUGUUUCGGCAAGGGGGUCAUCCCGACUUACCAACCCGAUGCAAACUGCGAAUACCGGAGAAUGUUAUCACGGGAGACACACGGCGGGUGCUAACGUCCGUCGUGAAGAGGGAAACAACCCAGACCGCCAGCUAAGGUCCCAAAGUCAUGGUUAAGUGGGAAACGAUGUGGGAAGGCCCAGACAGCCAGGAUGUUGGCUUAGAAGCAGCCAUCAUUUAAAGAAAGCGUAAUAGCUCACUGGUCGAGUCGGCCUGCGCGGAAGAUGUAACGGGGCUAAACCAUGCACCGAAGCUGCGGCAGCGACACUAUGUGUUGUUGGGUAGGGGAGCGUUCUGUAAGCCUGUGAAGGUGUACUGUGAGGUAUGCUGGAGGUAUCAGAAGUGCGAAUGCUGACAUAAGUAACGAUAAAGCGGGUGAAAAGCCCGCUCGCCGGAAGACCAAGGGUUCCUGUCCAACGUUAAUCGGGGCAGGGUGAGUCGACCCCUAAGGCGAGGCCGAAAGGCGUAGUCGAUGGGAAACAGGUUAAUAUUCCUGUACUUGGUGUUACUGCGAAGGGGGGACGGAGAAGGCUAUGUUGGCCGGGCGACGGUUGUCCCGGUUUAAGCGUGUAGGCUGGUUUUCCAGGCAAAUCCGGAAAAUCAAGGCUGAGGCGUGAUGACGAGGCACUACGGUGCUGAAGCAACAAAUGCCCUGCUUCCAGGAAAAGCCUCUAAGCAUCAGGUAACAUCAAAUCGUACCCCAAACCGACACAGGUGGUCAGGUAGAGAAUACCAAGGCGCUUGAGAGAACUCGGGUGAAGGAACUAGGCAAAAUGGUGCCGUAACUUCGGGAGAAGGCACGCUGAUAUGUAGGUGAAGUCCCUCGCGGAUGGAGCUGAAAUCAGUCGAAGAUACCAGCUGGCUGCAACUGUUUAUUAAAAACACAGCACUGUGCAAACACGAAAGUGGACGUAUACGGUGUGACGCCUGCCCGGUGCCGGAAGGUUAAUUGAUGGGGUUAGCGCAAGCGAAGCUCUUGAUCGAAGCCCCGGUAAACGGCGGCCGUAACUAUAACGGUCCUAAGGUAGCGAAAUUCCUUGUCGGGUAAGUUCCGACCUGCACGAAUGGCGUAAUGAUGGCCAGGCUGUCUCCACCCGAGACUCAGUGAAAUUGAACUCGCUGUGAAGAUGCAGUGUACCCGCGGCAAGACGGAAAGACCCCGUGAACCUUUACUAUAGCUUGACACUGAACAUUGAGCCUUGAUGUGUAGGAUAGGUGGGAGGCUUUGAAGUGUGGACGCCAGUCUGCAUGGAGCCGACCUUGAAAUACCACCCUUUAAUGUUUGAUGUUCUAACGUUGACCCGUGAUCCGGGUUGCGGACAGUGUCUGGUGGGUAGUUUGACUGGGGCGGUCUCCUCCUAAAGAGUAACGGAGGAGCACGAAGGUUGGCUAAUCCUGGUCGGACAUCAGGAGGUUAGUGCAAUGGCAUAAGCCAGCUUGACUGCGAGCGUGACGGCGCGAGCAGGUGCGAAAGCAGGUCAUAGUGAUCCGGUGGUUCUGAAUGGAAGGGCCAUCGCUCAACGGAUAAAAGGUACUCCGGGGAUAACAGGCUGAUACCGCCCAAGAGUUCAUAUCGACGGCGGUGUUUGGCACCUCGAUGUCGGCUCAUCACAUCCUGGGGCUGAAGUAGGUCCCAAGGGUAUGGCUGUUCGCCAUUUAAAGUGGUACGCGAGCUGGGUUUAGAACGUCGUGAGACAGUUCGGUCCCUAUCUGCCGUGGGCGCUGGAGAAUUGAGGGGGGCUGCUCCUAGUACGAGAGGACCGGAGUGGACGCAUCACUGGUGUUCGGGUUGUCAUGCCAAUGGCACUGCCCGGUAGCUAAAUGCGGAAGAGAUAAGUGCUGAAAGCAUCUAAGCACGAAACUUGCCCCGAGAUGAGUUCUCCCUGACUCCUUGAGAGUCCUGAAGGAACGUUGAAGACGACGACGUUGAUAGGCCGGGUGUGUAAGCGCAGCGAUGCGUUGAGCUAACCGGUACUAAUGAACCGUGAGGCUUAACCUU
rnacentral:rRNA from 1 species